rnacentral:rRNA from 1 species
GAUGAACGCUGGCGGCGUGCUUAACACAUGCAAGUCGAACGAUGAAGCCCAGCUUGCUGGGUGGAUUAGUGGCGAACGGGUGAGUAACACGUGAGUAACCUGCCCUUAACUCUGGGAUAAGCCCGGGAAACUGGGUCUAACACCGGAUAGGAGCGCCUACCGCAUGGGGGGUGUUGGAAAGAUUUAUCGGUUUUGGAUGGACUAGGGGCCUAUCAGCUUGUAGGUCAGGUAGUGGCUCACCAAGGGGACGACGGGUAGGCGGCCUGAGAGGGUGGCAAGCCACACUAGGACUGAGACACGGCCCAGACUCCUACGGGACGCAGCAGUGGAGAAUAUUGCACAGUAGGCGAGAGCCUGGUGCGAAGACGCAGCGUGAGGAAUGACGGGCUUCGGGUUGUAAACCUCUUUCAAUAGGGAAGGAGCGAAAGUGACGGUACCUGCAGAAGAAGCACCGGCUAACUACGUG